rnacentral:rRNA from 1 species
CUUGGUCAUUUAGAGGAAGUAAAAGUCGUAACAAGGUCUCCGUAGGUGAACCUGCGGAAGGAUCAUUAAAGAGACGUUGCCCUUCGGGGCAUACCUCCCACCCUUUGUUUACCGUACCUUUGUUGCUUUGGCAGGCCCGUCUUUGGACCGCCGGCUUCGGCUGGUCUGCGCCUGCCAGAGGACCCAAAACUCUGUCUGUCUGUGUCGUCUGAGUACUAUAUAAUAGUUAAAACUUUCAACAACGGAUCUCUUGGUUCUGGCAUCGAUGAAGAACGCAGCGAAAUGCGAUAAGUAAUGUGAAUUGCAGAAUUCAGUGAAUCAUCGAAUCUUUGAACGCACAUUGCGCCCUCUGGUAUUCCGGGGGGCAUGCCUGUUCGAGCGUCAUUACAACCCUCAAGCUCUGCUUGGUAUUGGGCUCUGCCGGUCCUGGCAGGCCUCAAAGUCAGUGGCGGUGCCAUCCGGCUCCAAGCGUAGUAAUUCUUCUCGCUUCGGAGGCCGCGGUGCGUGCUAGCCAGCAACCCCCAAUUUCUUUCAGGUUGACCUCGGAUCAGGUAGGGAUACCCGCUGAACUUAAGCAUAUCAAUAAGCGGAGGAA